GCGACAGUAGCUCAGUGGUAGAGCCCCCGCUUCGCGUGCGAGGAGACCCGGGUUCGAUUUCUGGCUGCUUCC
rfam:Toxocara canis scaffold619, whole genome shotgun sequence.